AUUGAACGCUGGCGGCAGGCCUAACACAUGCAAGUCGAACGGUAACAGGAAACAGCUUGCUGUUUCGCUGACGAGUGGCGGACGGGUGAGUAAUGUCUGGGAAACUGCCUGAUGGAGGGGGAUAACUACUGGAAACGGUAGCUAAUACCGCAUAACGUCGCAAGACCAAAGAGGGGGACCUUCGGGCCUCUUGCCAUCGGAUGUGCCCAGAUGGGAUUAGCUAGUAGGUGGGGUAACGGCUCACCUAGGCGACGAUCCCUAGCUGGCCUGAGAGGAUGACCAGCCACACUGGAACUGAGACACGGUCCAGGCUCCUACGGGAGGCAGCAGUGGGGAAUAUUGCACAAUGGGCGCAAGCCUGAUGCAGCCAUGCCGCGUGUAUGAAGAAGGCCUUCGGGUUGUAAAGUACUUUCAGCGGGGAGGAAGGGAGUAAAGUUAAUACCUUUGCUCAUUGACGUUACCCGCAGAAGAAGCACCGGCUAACUCCGUG
rnacentral:rRNA from 1 species